GGCGACGCCCGGGUGCUGGUCGGCGGUCGGAACAAAUCCGGACCUGACCUCGCGGUUGCCCUGGCCAAGAGAGUGGCCGAGAGGGCGCCUUGCGACGGGGGCUGGGAGGACAGCGGGAGAGCGAGGGCGCGGGGCGGCCUGCCGCGUCCUGCGUCGCAGACACAGCCCGGCGGCGACGUACGGGAGCAGGCCGUUCCCACAAGGAGCAGAUGGCCUGUGGCACGGUCUCCUGCUCUAGGGGACCGCAGGCCCGUCGGGCCGAUGGCCUCGCGGGCGCCGACCCGCGCGUUCCUGACUGACUGGCUUAAGACCCGCUUGUGGGAGAGCCGACGCCGCAGUGACGUCUGGUGUGGCGACGCGAGCUUCGCGCGGCGACUCGCUUGGCCUGUCGCCUUGUUUUAACAGAACCUGGAGGCUGCUCCUCGUUUCAGGUUUGAGCUGCGAAGGGUCACCGCCCCUUCACGGUGUAGCACCGGCUGGACAGGGGGCGUUUGUGGGGAGGGCUUCACCCGCGUUCGGAUUCCCAGCAAAACGGCAAGUGCGCGCGCCCGUGGGGCGACCGCGGGGUCCUUAGUGAGGAUGUCCUGUCGCUUCGGCCGCUUUCCGAGAGGAUGUGGUGGUGUGACCGGAAGACCUGCCUGGAAGCUUCCCCACUUUAUUCUCCGUCGUAGCACACUUCUUAGCCGUUUUCUCAAUUAAUAAUUACACAUUUGUUCAUUUGCCUGUUGAUUGGCUUCUCCACGCCCACCCCAGCCUCAGCUAUAAACUCUGCGAGGGCAGGAACUAUUUCAGUUUCACUUGCCACCACAUAAAAGGCGCACAGCACAGUGCCCGGCGGUGUCCACGUGUUUGAAUGAAUGAAUGAAGAAAUGAUGUAAAAAAGUUGUCAAGGGAGGCCAAAGAAGGCAGCAUGAUAGGAAUGGAAAAAUCUGAUUCCCCAUGCCCCUUAAAGAUUGAUAAGAAGAUCUUUAACCACUGACCUUUUGGAUGCUUGUUAAAAAUGCAAAUUCUGGGGCUGGCCCUGUGGCCCAAUGGUUAAGUUCACGUCCUCUGCUUCAGCAGCCCAAGGUUUCCCAGAUUUGGAUCCUCAGUGUGGACAUGGCAC
rnacentral:lncRNA from 1 species